rnacentral:lncRNA from 1 species
CGUGGUACGCCCUCAUUUUAACUUUCCAUUAUCUUUCACGAGUCUUAUUGGAUUUGAACACAAAAUGGAGAUGAGGAUAAAGAGUAUAAUCUCAAGGCUGGAGAAGAUCUCCAAAGAGAAGGCCGAGCUGCGCUUGACGCCCACCGACGAUGAUUUCUCAACGACAGUCAACAGCUUUCAGACAUCAUCUCUAUUCGAUCCAGAAUUCAAAGGUCCUACGCUAAAAUUACAGUUAAAAAAAAUACUGGGACGACUUCAGGGAGAUGAGAACAAGGGCAAGCUGAUAGCAAUCACGGGGAUGGGGGGAAUCGGAAAGACUACUCUAGCUAAAGCUAUAUUCAACGAUGGUUUCAUCAAAGCAAGUUUUCGCAUGAAGAUUUGGAUCUGCGUUUCCAAGUACUUCAACCAUAUUAAGAUUUUGAAAGAGAUGAUAGCACACGCAGGUGGGGACCCCCGGGUUAGUGACAGUAAGGAACAACUGGCCUUGAUCCUAGGCAGCCUUAUCAAAGACAGGAAAAUUUUUCUUGUUCUGGAUGAUGUCUGGACGGCAGAGGUGUGGGAAGAUCUACUCCGAGGACCCUUGCAACGCAGUGACGCUGGCACCAUGGUGUUGAUAACGACUCGUCGCGAUACCCUGGCAAGGCAGAUGGGGGCUUGCACGUUCAUCCUGCCGUGAGAAUGUCCGGUGCUGAAAGCUUCCGCUUGUUAUACAAGAUGGUUUUCGGAAAUGGGGAGAAAGAACAGUGGGGAGCUCUUCAAGAUGUCGGCGUUAAAAUUGCCGAGAGAUGCAAGGGCGUCCCUUUAGCAAUAAAGACGAUCGGAGGAGUUCUGCGAUGCAAGGAUAGAAACAUACAAGAGUGGGAGGAGAUACUCGAAGAUCCAAUAUGGUCUACAUCCAUCUUCCCAGACGAGGAGGAAACUGUUAUGAAACCUUUGUAUUUGUCUUACAGGGAUCUCCCCUCUAGCAUCAAGCAGUGUUUUUUAUACCUCUCGUUAUUUCCCGAGGACUUCGUGUUUGCCCGUCCCAGUGUCGUGCAGUACUGGGCAGCUGAGGGUUUCCUAAAAUCAGAGGGCACUUUCACCGUUGAAGAGGUUGGAACAAAACAUUUCGAUGAGCUGGCAGGUAGGGGUCUACUGCAGCCACAGGUGGCACCGAUAGAGGGGGCCCUGUGCAAGAUGCACGACAUUGUGCGUUCUCUCUGUCAGUAUCUAGCGGAAGGCGAAUGCCGCUUCGGCGAGAUGCCGAGACCACAAGGCAGGUCCGGAAAGCUCCGUCGGCUGUCAAUGAUGGACUGUGACUUUGCCAUAGACAUCCAUCUCUUGAAAAGAGAACAACGCCUGAGGACACUGCUUAUUCGUAGCAACCCAUACGGAGGGGCAGUUCUGAAACAUGAUGUUGUUGAAGCUCUUACUUAUCUGAGAGUUUUAGAUAUCAGUGAGACACCCAUUGUGGAACUGCCACGCUUCAUCACAAAACUUUUACAUCUGAGGUACCUCAACGUCUCUGGGACUGCCAUUGGGGCGUUGCCAGAUUCGAUUGGUGACUUGAAAAGCCUGGAGUUCCUCUUACUGAAGAAAUGCAAGAACAUCUCGUCUCUUCCAGAUGGCAUUACGCAGUUGCGAAAUCUGAGGUGCCUCGAGAUGACUGAGGGUCCUGCAAUCGAUCAGCUGCCACAGGGAAUCGGCGGACUGCAUCAGCUGCGAGCUCUGAAGGAUUUUGUCGUGGACAAGCGGGAAGGGACUCUUCAAGAAUUAGAACCUCUUUUACAUUUGAGAUCGCUGGUGAUCACCAAAUUGGAGAGGGUGAUAGACAGAACGAAAGCCAGAAGUGCCCUCCUCGAAAAUAAAACCUCCAUGAUUUACAUAUCCUUCGAGUGGACCUUCCCCCCCGUGGAUACUCCGACUGAUGACCAAAUAAAGAACAUGUCCUAUACCUUUGAUGAGCUAUGUCCCUCACCCUCCCUUGAGAUGCUCAACGUCGUUGGAUACCUUGGCCUCAGACUCCCCUGUUGGAUGUGGCCUUCGCCGUCAUCUGGCGUCUCUCCCAUCCAUAGUGUCACAAUUAUAACUAUGAGCAAUUGCAUGUGCCUCUCUCAGCUUCCUCCACUCGGACUUCUCCCUCAUCUAAAGACCCUCUGGAUCAAGGGCUGCUUCCAGCUCGUAAGCAUCGGAACCGAGCUCGCAAACCCUGCUACUUCCCCGCAUCCAUCUUCUUCUACUGCAACUGGUGGCACAACUGCUGUUCUGUUCCCCAAGCUGGAAACCUUUGCUCUUGUAGAAAUGCCUAACCUUGAAACAUGGUCCUGGAAAACAGACAACGGAACCAGCAUGCUGGCUUUUCCUUCACUCAAAGUUCUGUACCUAGACGGCUGCCCCAAAUUGAGAUGCGUCCCUGAUAUCUCUUGGAGACGGCUCGAGCACAUAUUCGUCCACAAUUGCCCUUCAAUUCUGGAGGUUGGUGGCGUUACUGCUCCGGAAUUAUUGUCUGUAAGAGAUGACAGCUCGGAGGACGUCCCGCCAUGGUUAGAUCAGGUCUGUGUCAAUCCCACGGAUGAGGUAUCAAUCCUUUUCCUCCAUGUCAGGUUGAACCUGCUCAAGAAAAUUUUACAACAGAGAGAGGCGGAUGUCAACAACCCAGAUGCCGGCUGGAAUGUCGUUAAACGAUUUCCUCGUGCUUGCGUUGUCGCAACAGACAAUGAAGAAAUGUUUUUCACCUACACCCAACAUGAAUCAUUAUUCGAGACCAACGUGCAGCUCGCUUAAGAUGAGGGCAUCUGUUGAGGCAGAGAUAAAGCAGAACGGGCAGUCCAUUGUGAAUAACAGGCAGAUCCCUCGGAUGAGGCAUCGGUACUUCUCCUCAAGGUCAAGUUGAGUCUGCUCAGAAAGGCGGCUUGCAUAUUGUCGGCUACAUCGGUAUUCUCUAAGCUGGUGGAGAAGAUCGCUCCUGUAGUCACUGAGCUACGCCCCCCACCCUCUGUAGGGAUCCCUGGCAUCGUUGUCUACAUCGGACUCGCUCUCCCUCCUUCGACGUUGUCCUCCACGACCACUGCGGUCUCUCAUAUUCAUCACCUGAUUGACUCAUUGUUUACCAAGAGUUUUGAUAAGUCUCAAUUCCUCCCAUGAUUGGGACUGCUUUUUCGUCACAGGAUCGUGGGAAGCAUCGCUCCUGAGCAGGUAUUGGGCCCAUCUCUUUCUACACGCCAUUCCUCGUCCUUCCCCUCUUCUUCUUAUUCCACUUUAACCCGUGGUUAUAUAUGACCGCUCUGUGUCCUAAUUUGUAACCUUUCUCUCUCAUAAAUAUGCCAAACCUGGAGACGUGUGGCACUGGAACGCAGUACUAUAGCAACUGCGGAGGUUCUCCCCGUCUCCGAGAUGUACCCUAGAGAGGAGUCUAGUCACCUAUUGGGACGCCUGCGACAAUGGAGACAUGGCUCAAGAGAACUGCGUCCGAAGCUCCCUUCGCGAGAUUAAGCUUCGCCAGGAAACCGUCCGUCAGGCCUGUCCAAGGAUCCACGCCGAAGAUGGAGGGACAGAGAUCCCACACAACCGACGCUUUCGUCUCUUUCCCCGUAGACGCCUCCGUUACCGUGGUUCUCGAGUCAGUCAAGAUUUUGUGAUCCGCUACUCGCCUAAUGGCAAGGAUUCCAUUAAUGACGUCGUCGAGCCCGCACGUCAAAUCAGCCGAUUCCUUUCCGCAUGUGAAAAUGAAUUGGCAACUACUCCACGUCUGGCAUCAGUCCGCAAAAAGCGGAUAGAUCUCGUCGUCAUUGCGUUUCUAACACGUAAAUUAACUCCCGAAUGUGGCCAGAGUCGUUUCCCGAGGUUGACCUUCUUUACAUCCUUAGACCAUCUCAAAGCUGGCUCUCCGAAAGCAGAGCAUGUCCUAAAUGUUGCCAGAGCCAACGUAUCAGUCAACGUCAAUCCUUUGAACUGAGACCCAUGAGAGAGUGAGCGGGUCCUCCCUUGAACGUUCGGACGGUGUCACAAUUUCAUGACAGCUCAAGAGCGGUAUUUUAUUUUGAUACGUUCGAAAUCGAUCUCCCAAGUUUCUGUGGGCGUCCAACGCGCCCAAAGAUGUUGACCAAUGCAGAAACCUUCACUCGCUUUCGACGAAUCAGAACAAUUCGAGUAGGUCUCUUCAUCCCCUACCUUCGCAGCUUCGAGCUGGAACCCUGUUCGACGCGCAUCUCUCCGUCUCUCUCUCUCUCUAUCUAAAUUGCUAUCCUCCCUCUGUAACCCUUUUCUUUCUUCAGCACUCGCCACCAAAUCUGAUCCCGCGAUUAGAUUAGGAUAUGGCAGCGCCGCUGCUUUCGCUCGUCUCUUUAUUCCUAGAGAAGCUUAGCAAUUUGAAACGCGAGGAAGUGACGUUGAGCAGCUUACGGUCCGCACUGGAGAAGCUCGAGGAGAAGAUCAAGGAGAUCAGACACUUCGUCCCCGACGCAGAGACCCAGGCCUUCACCAGCGAGUACGCCCGCCUCUUGCUGAAUGUGCUGAAAGACGCGGUGUACGACGCAGAUGACAUCCUCGACGACUACGCGACCGCCGGGGAAAUGGUGUCGGUACAGCCGGAAACGUCCUCCUCGAACAACGUGGUGCGCCCUCGUUUUUCCUCUUCAUUACCUGUCAGAAGUCAUACUGAAUUUGAACAUAAAAUGGAGAUGAGGAUAAAGAGCAUAAUCUCAAGGUUGGAGAAGAUCUCCAAAGAGAAGGCCGAGCUGCGCUUGACGCCCACCGAUGAUGAUUUCUCAGCGAUAGGCAACAACUUUCAGACAUCAUCUCUAGUCGAUCCAGAUAUUACUUCGUCUGCACUUGAAUUAAAAUUAAAAAAAUUACUGAGUCAGCUUGUGGGGGAUGAGAACGAGGGCAAGCUGAUAGCGAUCACGGGGAUGGGGGGAAUCGGAAAGACUACUCUUGCUAAAGUUAUAUUCAAUGAUGGAUUCAUCGAAGCCAGUUUUCGCAUGAAGAUUUGGAUCUGCGUUUCAAAGUACUUUAACCAUGUCAAGAUUUUGAAAGAAAUCAUAGCGCAUGCAGAUGGGAACCCCCGGGUUAGUGACAGUAAGGAACAGCUGGCCUUGAUCCUAAGCAGCCUCAUUAAAGACAAGAAAAUUUUUCUGGUUCUGGAUGACGUCUGGACGACAGAGGUAUGGAAAGAUCUACUCCAAGGGCCCUUGCAAGGCGCCGCUGCUGGCAGCAGGGUGAUAAUAACGACUCGAUUCGAGUCCGUGGCGAACCAGGUGGGGGCGUCGCUCAUUCACCAUGCCCAAAGAAUGACUGGUUUGGAGGGCUUCCACUUGUUAUACAAGAUGGCGUUCAGAAACGGGGAGCAAGAGCAGUGGGAAGCCCUGCAAGAUGUCGGCAUUAAAAUUGCCGAGCGAUGCAAGGGCGUCCCUUUAGCAAUAAAGACGAUCGGAGGGGUUCUGAGACGCAAGGAUAAGAACGUACGAGAGUGGGAGGAAAUACUCGAAGAUCCGAUAUGGUCUGCAUCCAUCUUCCCAGACGAGGAGGAAAGCAUUAUGAAGCCUUUGUAUUUGUCUUACAGGGAUCUGCCCGCAAGCAUCAAGCAGUGUUUUCUGUACCUCUCGCUGUUCCCCGAGGACUUCGUGUUCGUGCGUCCCAGAGUUGUCUCAUACUGGGUUGCGGAGGGUUUCCUGAAACCAGAGGGCACUUUGACCAUGGAAGACGUAGGAACGAGGUAUUUCGAUGAGCUGACCAGUAGAGGUCUUCUGCAACCACAGCUCUCAGCGAUAGAGGGGGCUCUGUGCAAGAUGCACGACAUUGUGCGUUCUCUCUGUCAGUAUCUAGCGGAAGGCGAAUGCCUCUUCGGCGAGAUGCCGAGACCGCAAGGCAGGUCCGGAAAGCUCCGCCGGCUGUCAAUGGUGGACUGUGAUUUUGCCAUAGACAUCCAUCUUUUGAAAAGAGAACAACGCCUGAGGACACUCCUUAUUCGUAGCAACCCAUGCGGAGGGGUAGUUCUGAAACAGGAUGUUGUUGAAGCUCUUACCUAUCUGAGAGUUUUAGAUGUCAGUGAUACGCCCAUUGAGGAACUGCCGCACUUCAUCACGAGGCUUCGACACCUGAGGUACCUCAACGUCUCUGGGACUCCCAUUGGGGCGUUGCCAGAGUCGAUAGGCGACAUGAAAAGCCUUCAAUUCCUAUUCUUGAAGAACUGCCGAAACAUCUCGUCUCUUCCAGAUGGCAUAACGAAGUUGAGAAAUCUGAGAUCCCUUCAGGUGAAUGAAGGAACUGACAUCGACCAGUUGCCAAGGGGAAUCGGCAGACUGCAUCAGCUGCAAGGUCUGAAUGAGUUUGUUGUGGACAAGCAGGAGGGAAGUCUGCGAGAUUUGGGGCCUCUUUCAAACUUGAGACUGCUGGUGAUCACCAAAUUGGAGAGAGUCUCAGAAAGAACGCAAGCCAGAAGUGCUUUCCUCGAGAAUAAAACCUCAAUAAACUACAUAAGCUUCGAGUGGUCCUUCCCUCCUGUGGAAACUACGACUGCUGACCGGAUAAUGAACAUGCCUGAUAUAUUUGAUGAGCUAUGCCCCUCACCCUCCCUGCAGAUUCUCAACGUCGAGGGAUACCUUGGUCUCACCCUCCCUCGUUGGAUGUGGCCCUCGUCGUCGUCUGGCGUCUCUCCCAUCCAAAAUCUCACUCAUCUAACAAUGACCAGGUGCAUGAAUUUCUCUCAGAUUCCUCCGCUCGGACUUCUCCCUCAUCUGAAGGUUCUCGGGCUCGAUUAUUGUCCCCAGCUCGUAAGCAUCGGAACCGAGCUCGCAAGCCCAUCUGUUUCUCCACAUCAAUCUUCCUCAACCUCUUCUUCCACUGCAACUGGUGGCCCACCUGCUAUUCUGUUCCCCAAGCUGGAAUCUUUCUCUCUCGUAGAGAUGUCAAACCUUGAAACAUGGUCCUGGAAAACAGACAACAGAACCAGCAUGCUGGCUUUUCCUUCACUCAAAGUUCUGUACCUAGACGGCUGCCCCAAAUUGAGAUGCGUCCCUGAUAUCUCUUGGAGACGGCUCGAGCACAUAUUCGUCUACAAUUGCCCUUCAAUUCUGGAGGUCGGUGGCGUUACUGCUCCGGAAUCAUUGUCUGUAAGAGAUGACAGCUCGGAGGACGUCCCGCCAUGGUUAGAUCAGGUCUGUGUCAAUCCCACGGAUGAGGUGUCAAUCCUUUUCCUCCAUGUCAGGUUGAACCUGCUCAAGAAAAUUUUACAACAGAGAGAGGCGGAUGUCAACAACCCAGAUGCCGGCUGGAAUGUCGUCAAACGAUUCCCUCGCGCUUACGUUGUCGCAAGGGAUGAUGAAACUAUGUUCUUCUCCUACACCAAACACAAAUCACUAUUCCACACCAGCGUGCGGCUCGCCUAAGGUGAGGGCAUCUAUUGGGGCAGCAGUAAAGCAGAAUGGAUAGGACACUGCGAAUGAGAAGCCGUUCCCAUUGAUGAGGCGUCGUUCCUUCUCAAUGCCAGGUUGAGUCUGCACAGGAAGGUGGCUACAUCGGUGUUUGCUACGCUGGUGGAAUAAUGGGGAUCAAAGAAGUGGGCAAGCACCUCCACAUCACCAGCACAUCGGCCCAAGUCCAUUACGCCAUAACUUUCUUCUUUAGCUAUUUCCUUUUCUAAUCAUCCAAGUGGUUAUCAAUAACUUUGUGUUGCCCUAAGGACGAUUAGACAGAGGUGAACGAAGUUUUGAGGUUUACCUCGUAUUGCUCCGCAAGGAGAGGCCGAGGGGGUCAGCUACCCAUCGCCACCGCCGCCACCCCCCGUCACACAGUCACCGCCAUUCGCCGGCUGCCCCUUAUCGCCCGUCGCCGUCACCGCCCGCUGCCACCGAUCCCCCGUCGCCACUGUCGCCGUCACCAUCUGCUGCCAUCCUCUGCCCCGUCACUGUCGCCGCCGUCCGCCAUCACCAUCCGCUGCCGCGGCCAGCAUCCCUACCUCCGCCUCCGGUUAUGCCCCCGGUUCGUAGCAUCAUGAACCGCUGCACUGACCCGGUUCCACCCGGCCAGACCGCCCACAUCUGUCCGGCCCAACCCAGCUCGAACCCCUCGGUCCGAGCAAACUUGCCGCCCGUCCGAGCCACUGUGGAGCAUUUGGUUCGAGUCGGUUCGCCUCGCCGGGUUCGAGCCAUUCGGAUAAUCUGGUCCACGCCAGCCGCCUCAUCUGGUUCAAACCAGUCUCCCUCCCCCCCCCCCUUCCACCCCAAAAGACCAGGUUAGCAGGGUCAACAGUCAACGUUCAACUUGAUGCAAGAAUGAACGAGCUUUCAAUCAGUUUCCUUCAAAAUUAUCUGUUGACAUCGGAAGAACUUCUAAGAAAAGAAAAAACACACGUAGCAUUGACUAUGCACAAGGGUGGGGAGAGGCAAAACAAAAACAUUUGGGGGAGAUGACAAACCGACCAAAACACCAUCAGUUAAGAGAGAGAAGAGAGAGAGAGAGAGAGAGAGAGAGAGNNNNNNNNNNNNNNNNNNNNNNNNNNNNNNNNNNNNNNNNNNNNNNNNNNNNNNNNNNNNNNNNNNNNNNNNNNNNNNNNNNNNNNNNNNNNNNNNNNNNNNNNNNNNNNNNNNNNNNNNNNNNNNNNNNNNNNNNNNNNNNNNNNNNNNNNNNNNNNNNNNNNNNNNNNNNNNNNNNNNNNNNNNNNNNNNNNNNNNNNNNNNNNNNNNNNNNNNNNNNNNNNNNNNNNNNNNNNNNNNNNNNNNNNNNNNNNNNNNNNNNNNNNNNNNNNNNNNNNNNNNNNNNNNNNNNNNNNNNNNNNNNNNNNNNNNNNNNNNNNNNNNNNNNNNNNNNNNNNNNNNNNNNNNNNNNNNNNNNNNNNNNNNNNNNNNNNNNNNNNNNNNNNNNNNNNNNNNNNNNNNNNNNNNNNNNNNNNNNNNNNNNNNNNNNNNNNNNNNNNNNNNNNNNNNNNNNNNNNNNNNNNNNNNNNNNNNNNNNNNNNNNNNNNNNNNNNNNNNNNNNNNNNNNNNNNNNNNNNNNNNNNNNNNNNNNNNNNNNNNNNNNNNNNNNNNNNNNNNNNNNNNNNNNNNNNNNNNNNNNNNNNNNNAGAGAGAGAAGAGAGAGAGAGAGAGAGAGAGAGAGAGAACCUGCCCCUACCAGGAGGGAAGAGGACAACAUCUCAUAUUUUCUGCAGAUCUAUUUUUUUUGGAAAAAAAGAAUCAAAUCAUGAGUUUUUCUUGGUUAUCACAGUCUGACCUUAUUUUCAUGAAAUUGUUUGAUGACAUCAUUCAGUUAGCAGAAUGUUGUUAGAAGAAAUAGUUCAAGAAGCUCGAAACUCAACUGCUUCAAGUGAACUGACGACUGCACCCAAGAAGCCAAGACUCAACAGCUAGGAGGAAAAACAAUGACCACAUUUGGGGCCAUAUUCAGAGAGCAAUAUAAAGGCUGAUCUAGUAAACUCACUUGAAGAAAGUAAUAAACAUCUUCGGCACAUUAUUAAUGCUCCUUCCUGCCAAUAAACCCAACAAGCACUGCAGGGGCAUUUUCUACAUGAAACAACAAUGCUUGUUCAAUAGUCAACAUUGACCUGACAGACCAAAUGGUUACAAUUUCUCUAGGGUUUUCUUCAUUAAGCUUUUGUUCACAGAAAAAUAAACGAAAAUUUCCCCUCGCAGAUUAUUAGCUCAUGGACAAAUUCAACACAAUGGCCAGCUUCUUGUCAUUUUGCAUCUAUCAACAAGGUUUCAUCACUAACUAGCUCAUCCUUUGGGGUUGGAGCAAAAGUUGGGCAUCUUCGACUUAGAUGCUUGGUGAUGAAGAUACCAUCAGGAAAAAGUAUCUAGAAAAAUGACAUGAAAUAAGUGAGAAGUUGCAUUGUACUUCAAGGGAGAAAAAUGGUCAAAGCUUCUUAAUUUGGUUAAAUUACGAUCUUCCACCAGACCUCAAUCUUUUUUGUAUAUCGCUUGCAAUUCUACACUACUGACUUCAUGUCUGUAAGGUGAAACAAAGUGGACCAGAUCCUUCAAAGUAUUGAAACAAGUCGCACUUUACUUGGUACAUGUGAAGCCAACAAUAAGACAAUAAAUAAAUACAAAGAAUACAUUGAGUACAACUAGAGAUCUAUUUGACAUGAUUAUUUAUUUAUUCAGGAAGAUAGAAGAAAAAACAAAAAUUAUGGAAGAAAUCAUGACUAGGUUGUUAUCUAACCAUUAAUUAAGAAAAUAAUUUUCAUUUGCAUAUUAUGAAGAUGUGUUGUGUCUAAAUCUGUAAGUCAAUAAAUCUCUAGUGUCAGAAUUUCACUAGCAUGAGUAUGAUUUUAACAUGGUGAGCCCAAGUAAGAUGUUAAUACCUCCAAGGGGGUUGAUCCAAUGUGUAGAUCUUGAUUGACAAUACAUGAUUAGAGCUUUAUUAUGAAUAGAUGGAUAUAAUGCAGACAUGCUCAACAUGUUGAAUUGCAGAAAUCAUUAUUGAUCAUAUUCUCAGAUGUUGAAUUUUUUCAAUUAGCCAAUCAUCAAAAGCAUUUCCCAUUCCUAAUUGUAUGACAAUUUAGCAAUACAAAACAUCUCCUAUAACAAACAUAAAAAAAAUUUUAAACAAGAAAAAAGUCAUGAAUCUAUUUGAUUCACAUCAAAAGUAGGAAGAACAAAAGCAAUGUGCUUACUAUAUAGCACACUAAUAUUUGAAGGAAUCCAUCAUAUUAUUAGAACAAGAGUUAGAAAAGUGCAGAAUAUAACACAAAAAUUAAAAGAAAAGGUACAUUUUUGUUCUUAUCUAAUAAAAAAAACUAUUUAGAUGAAUGCAUAUUGUAACUAGAAAACUUAAGUCACCCCGAUUGGAAUAAUUGGGUCAUUGUUAGUUUCAAGAGCUAAGAAGGAUGGUUCUUGUUUCCCAUCAGCACCUUCAAUUGGAACUUUCACAUACUUUCCAUUUUUUAUGGAAGGAUUGAUCUAUUUAAGCCUCUUACCCAAAUCAUUCUCUGAUUUACCCAAUAGUAGGUUCUUAGCUAUCCUAACAUUAGAGCAAAUUGUUGAUCAAAGGCUAAAUCCACUUCAUUUACAUGGUCCGUGUAACAAAGUCCAAAUAUCAUUUUGCACAUGUUGGGGCAUAUUGAGAAUGAGCAUACAUUGGUUAAUGUAGAAAUAAACAUCUUACAUAUUGCAAAGUGAUUUAUAGUUUAAUGGCCUGAUAACUGAUACCAAUAAUCUAAAAAUGUUGUUGUGUCACUUAAGUUCAUGUAUUGUUGACUGUGAUUAUAAUCAUUAGCAACAUCAUCUUUGCACGAUGAUGAUAGACUCUACCAAACAACUCUUCUUCAAUUCUAAUAAUAUUAUGAUGCACUCCUAUCAAAUAAUUAAUAAGAUAUUGGUAUUGAUUUCUGAACCCAACUUCUAACAAGCAGUAACUCAAAUAAUUUUCAGAGGAUUUAUUAUUUCAUUCUUCAUAUGUCAAUAAUGAGAGAUUAAGUUAUUUUGUGAAUAAAUAGAUACAUAUUUUAAUUUCCUAAUUUCAAAAAUAAUAUAAUUAGCUCAGAAUACUUCUUAAAAAAUUUGAACCAUUUUUCUUUUUGAAGUUAUCUUCUAUAAAAAUCCUCAUUUGACUUAUAAUAACAGAAACAUGUGAAAAAAGUUUUGAAUUGAUUCAUCAGAUUUAAUACACAAUGUCUCAAAAUCUCUUCAAAAUGUUUGAAGUUUUACCAUUGUGACUUGGUUGUCACCUUGAAAAUGUUGAUUUAAGAUUCUCCAUGCCUUCAUAGAAGUUCUAACAUUGGUAACUAUUAGAAAAAUUACUGAUGUAAUAGCCUGCUGCAGCACAUGAAGAGUCUUUACAUCCCUCUUGUGAAAUUAAUUUAAUUAUUAUUUCUCACUCUCUCUUCUAAAAAAUCUUUCUCAACGAGAUCCCAUAAAAUCUUGUGAAAUGAAAAUAGUCAUCAUCUUGAUACUCCAAAACUCAUAAUUUUCUCUAUUAAAAAUGAUACAAAAUAUUGAAAAGUAUUGAAAACUUGAUCAUUAUUCGACAUUUUUGAUAGAAUAAAUUUUACUCUUUAAUAUGUGGGUCCUCUAAACUCGUUUUAUAUAUCUCUUGUUAUAGUAAUAAUCUACAUCAAUAUAUAAAAUAAGAUCCUUCAAAAAACAUGAUUUUCAUAUAUACUAACUUCAGCUAAUCUAAGUAGUAAUAGACACCCAAUUUGUGUUGAAACCUAGUUCUAAUACUAUGUUGAAAACAUAGGCUAAAAAAAAGAGAAAUAAUGGUGUCAAAAAUCGUAGAAAUAAUGAUGAUGAGAGAGCGAAAGAAUGUAAAAGGUCGGAUGUCGUGAGCCAUAAUUCAAGGAUAGAGCGAAAAUCAACUUUUCUAAUUAACCAUUAAAAAAGGAAUAAACCGCCCUUAUAAAAGUGGCGGAAGGCGAAGAGAAAAACAAGGAUACGAAAGCAAAUAUGAAAAUUUAUAGGUGUUAGAACAAAAAUGGGUCAGCCAACAUUGGUAAAAAAUGACGGCCGCAUUCUCGAGCGAAGCAUCAAUCUUCAACAGAAGCCACACUCUCUCUCAUCGAGAAAGAAAAGCCCCCACCACGAACUAGCCACCCACUUCCCCGAAAGAAAGCUGGUUUCCAUUUAAUAGGACGUUAUCCUAGACUUGGAGGGCGUUGACCAAACCCCAGCAAGCGGACGCUAUCUCGUAGAUGUACAGUAUAGGUGAAGACGCGUGGAUGUACAGUAUCAGUGCAGAACACGUCCUUAGUGGCGGGGGCUGAACGGGCGCUGAACACCCCCAUUGCCCAAGAGCUUUAAUUGUAUCUCGUCGCAGAAGCAAUCCUCAAUUGGGGAUAAUUAAGAAUGAAGAGAGUCCACAAGGAUCCAUUCCCUUUCAGGAAACCAUCGUCUAUAGCAGCUCCUUUAUCUACUGCAGAAUACCGGCGGAGUUUUGUCGAUUUACGUCCUCAGUGCUGCGAUGCAUCCGAAGAAUUUCUGGCCUUCCAAUCGCAGCUGAGAAGCGACCGCUGGAGGUCGUCAAUCUUCUAUUGAGCACCGUCGACGAGUGUAUUCCCCUGUCCGGAGAGGCUCCUACGAAUCAGCUCCUUGAUGCUCUUUUAUUGUCUUCCAGGGUUUAUAACCCGCUUCUUCAACAAAACCCUUUAUUGGUGUUGACUAAGUUGUCGCCGAGUCUCACAACCCCUCCGAUAGCCAUCGUCGCCUGAGAGACGUCCACACCUGUCUCAACGAUUUUAACACCCACAUCAAGAAGAGACGCCAACGCCUCUCCAGGUUUUUCAGGCGAGUAGUCAUCAACGCCUAUUUUGUGCCCUGAGAGCCUAUUUCGAUGGUUCAUGGAAUUCGUUUUCUGAUGUAAAUCCGAAGAAAAUGGUAUCGUAUAGCAAAUGCCAAAUUCGUUUAAACCAUGCCAAUGAGAAACGCAUGGAUAACCACGCACGCUUUCCGCCUCCCAGCGCACUCUGCGGAUUACUGGCGAUAUGCGACAUUCACCGACUGCCAGGCCGCGCCUAACUAGCAGCGUCCGCCCCCACCGCAGAUAUGUAUUCAGCCGAUUCCUUUCCACACUAGAAAAUGUAUCACUCCGCAAGGAGCGGAUAGAUCUUGUCGUAAAUGGGUUUCUAUCACGUUCAUUUACUCCCAAAUGUGGGCAGGCUCGCGUGGUGAGGUUGACAUUAGUAACCGACGCACCUCAAUCUUAAUUGUCUGGUUCACCGAACUUUGACCAUGUGAGAUGGAGUGAGUCUUCCCUUUGAACUUUUGGAUGGUAUCACAAUGUCAUGAAAGUUCAAACGCGGUCUGUCGUCUACACAUCCGAAAUCGAUCUCCCCAGCUUACUUGGCAGUCCAAUGCGACGAAAGAAGUUGACCAACACAACCGUUCACACACUUUCGAAAAUUUGGAUCAGCUUGAGGGGGUUAUUCCUCCACCUUCCCAGAUUCGAGCUGGAGUUCCAGCCGACGCACCUCUCCCUCUCUUUCUCUCCCCUCUCUAUCUCUCUGCAUCUGUGAGCGCCCAAAGCGCCGUAUAAAGUUGACAAACACAAAAAAUUUCACACGCUUUCGAUGGCUUGAUCAGAUCGAGUUGGUUUAUUCAUUAUCCACCCUCCCAGCUUCAAAGCCGGUAUCCCGUUCGACGCGCACCCCUCUCUUCUGAUCCACCAUCUGUUACCCUUUUUCUCUCUUCAGCGUUGGCCACCACAUCUACACCCCCAAUUGGACUACGAUAUGGCGGUGUCGCUGUUUUCGCUUGUCUCCUUAUUCCUAGAAAAGCUCAACAAUUUCCAACACCAGGAAGUGGUGCUCAGCGGGUUACAGUCCGCGCUGGAGGAGCUCGAGGAGAGGAUCAAGGAGAUCAGACACUUUGUCCCCGACGCAGAGACACAGGCCUUCAGUAGCGCGUACACCCGCCUCUGGCUAAAAGCGCUGAAAGACGUGGUGUACGACGCAGAUGACAUCCUAGACGACUGCGCGAUCGCCAGAGAAACGGUGUCGGGACAGCCGGAAACGUCCUCCUCAACCAACGCGGUACGCCCUCAUUGUAACUUUCCAUUAUCUUUCACGAGUCUUAUUGGAUUUGAACACAAAAUGGAGAUGAGGAUAAAGAGUAUAAACUCAAGGCUGGAAAAGAUCUCCAAAGAGAAGGCCGAGCUACACCUGACGCCCACCGAUGAUGAUUUCUCAACGACAGUCAACAGCUUUCAGACAUCAUCUCUAUUCGAUCCAGAAA